rnacentral:rRNA from 1 species
CCUACGGGAGGCUGCAGUGGGGAAUAUUGGACAAUGGGGGCAACCCUGAUCCAGCCAUGCCGCGUGUGUGAAGAAGGCCCUCGGGUUGUAAAGCACUUUCAGUGAGGAAGAACGCCUGGUGGUUAAUACCCAUCAGGAAAGACAUCACUCACAGAAGAAGCACCGGCUAACUCCGUGCCAGCAGCCGCGGUAAUACGGAGGGUGCGAGCGUUAAUCGGAAUUACUGGGCGUAAAGCGCGCGUAGGUGGCUUGAUAAGCCGGUUGUGAAAGCCCCGGGCUCAACCUGGGAACGGCAUCCGGAACUGUCAAGCUAGAGUGCAGGAGAGGAAGGUAGAAUUCCCGGUGUAGCGGUGAAAUGCGUAGAGAUCGGGAGGAAUACCAGUGGCGAAGGCGGCCUUCUGGACUGACACUGACACUGAGGUGCGAAUGCGUGGGUAGCAAACAGGAUUAGAUACCCCUGUAGUC